GGUCACUGCUAUCGGUGUUCGUCUAAGCCAUGCGAGUCAUAUGUUCUUUGGAACAUGGCGUACUGCUCAGUAACACGUGGAUAACCUGCCCUUGGGUCCGGCAUAACCCCGGGAAACUGGGGAUAAUACCGGAUAACGCAUAUAUGCUGGAAUUCUUUAUGCGUGAAAUGGAUUCGUCUGCCCAAGGAUGGGUCUGCGGCCUAUCAGGUAGUAGUGGGUGUAAUGUACCUACUAGCCGACGACGGGUACGGGUUGUGAGAGCAAGAGCCCGGAGAUGGAUUCUGAGACAUGAAUCCAGGCCCUACGGGGCGCAGCAGGCGCGAAAACUUUACAAUGCGGGAAACCGUGAUAAGGGGACACCGAGUGCCAGCAUCAUAUGCUGGCUGUCCGGGUGUGUAAAAUACACCUGUUAGCAAGGGCCGGGCAAGACCGGUGCCAGCCGCCGCGGUAACACCGGCGGCCCGAGUGGUGAUCGUGAUUAUUGGGUCUAAAGGGUCCGUAGCCGGUUUGGUCAGUCCUCCGGGAAAUCUGACGGCUUAACCGUUAGGCUUUCGGGGGAUACUGCCAGACUUGGAACCGGGAGAGGUAAGAGGUACUACAGGGGUAGGAGUGAAAUCUUGUAAUCCCUGUGGGACCACCUGUGGCGAAGGCGUCUUACCAGAACGGGUUCGACAGUGAGGGACGAAAGCUGGGGGCACGAACCGGAUUAGAUACCCGGGUAGUCCCAGCCGUAAACGAUGCUCGCUAGGUGUCAGGCAUGGCGCGACUGUGUCUGGUGCCGCAGGGAAGCCGUGAAGCGAGCCACCUGGGAAGUACGGCCGCAAGGCUGAAACUUAA
rnacentral:rRNA from 1 species